rnacentral:rRNA from 1 species
GAUGAACGCUGGCGGCGUGCCUAAUACAUGCAAGUCGAGCGAACAGACGAGGAGCUUGCUCCUCUGACGUUAGCGGCGGACGGGUGAGUAACACGUGGAUAACCUACCUAUAAGACUGGGAUAACUUCGGGAAACCGGAGCUAAUACCGGAUAAUAUAUUGAACCGCAUGGUUCAAUAGUGAAAGACGGUUUUGCUGUCACUUAUAGAUGGAUCCGCGCCGCAUUAGCUAGUUGGUAAGGUAACGGCUUACCAAGGCAACGAUGCGUAGCCGACCAGAGAGGGUGAUCGGCCACACUGGAACUGAGACACGGUCCAGACUCCUACGGGAGGCAGCAGUAGGGAAUCUUCCGCAAUGGGCGAAAGCCUGACGGAGCAACGCCGCGUGAGUGAGGAAGGUCUUCGGAUCGUAAAACUCUGUUAUUAGGGAAGAACAAAUGUGUAAGUAACUAUGCACGUCUUGACGGUACCUAAUCAGAAAGCCACGGCUAACUACGUG